AUACUUACCUGGCAGGGGCGAUGCCAUGAUUACGAAAGUUUUCCCGGGGCCAGGCACAUCCACUGCACUCUCGAUGUGCAGACCCUUGCGAUUUCCCCAAACGUGAGCAACUCGACUUCAUAGUUUGUGGUAGUGGGGGACUAUGUUCUCAUUCUCCCCUG